rnacentral:rRNA from 1 species
CACGUAGGGUGCGAGCGUUGUCCGGAAUUAUUGGGCGUAAAGCGUGCGUAGACGGUUAUUUAAGUCGGAUGUGAAAGCCCCGGGCUCAACCUGGGAAUUGCAUUCGAGACUGAAUAGCUAGGGUACGGUAGAGGGAAGUGGAAUUUCCGGUGUAGCGGUGAAAUGCGUAGAUAUCGGAAGGAACAUCAGUGGCGAAAGCGACUUCCUGGACCAGUACCGACGUUCAGGCACGAAAGCGUGGGGAGCAAACAGG